GGUGGAAUUGCUGAAUCAUACAGUAAUUCUGUUUAAAUUUUUGAAGAACUGCCAAACUGUUUUCCAAAGUGGCUGCAUCAUUUUAUAGUCCCACCAGCAAA
rnacentral:pre_miRNA from 1 species